GUGGGGAAUCUUGCGCAAUGGGCGAAAGCCUGACGCAGCGACGCCGCGUGAGGGAAGAAGGUUUUCGGAUCGUAAACCUCUGUCGGGGGGGAAGAAACUUCCGGUGGCUAACAUCCAUCGGGAUUGACGGUACCCCCAAAGGAAGCAUCGGCUAACUACGUGCCAGCAGCCGCGGUAAUACGUAGGAUGCAAGCGUUGCUCGGAAUUACUGGGUGUAAAGCGCGUGUAGGUGGUUAAGUAAGUCAGGGGUGAAAGCCCUCGGCUCAACCGGGGAAUUGCCUUUGAAACUACUUGACUAGAGUACGGGAGGGGAAGGUGGAAUUCCUGGUGUAGCGGUGAAAUGCGUAGAGAUCAGGAGGAACACCGGCGGCGAAGGCGGCCUUCUGGACCGAUACUGACACUGAGACGCGAAAGCGUGGGUAGCAAACAGGAUUAGAUACCCCUGUAGUCC
rnacentral:rRNA from 1 species